rnacentral:misc_RNA from 1 species
GAUGAAGAACGCAGCGAAAUGCGAUAAGUAGUGUGAAUUGCAGAAUUCAGUGAAUCGUCGAAUCUUUGAACGCACAUUGCGCCCCUCGGUAUUCCGUGGGGCAUGCCUGUUCGAGCGUCAUUUAACCCCUCAAGCCUAGCUUGGUAUUGGGUGCUUGUCCCGCCUCUCGCGCGGCGACUCACCUCAAAGUCAUUGGCAGCCCGCAUCUCGCCGGCCGUGAGCGCAGCACAGACGCGCUCUUGGCAACGACGGAUCGGCUCUCCAAAAGCUUAUUUCAACCACUGACCUCGGAUCAGGUAGGGAUACCCGCUGAACUUAAGCAUAUCAAUAAGCGGAGGA